UACGUAGGGUGCGAGCGUUGUCCGGAAUUACUGGGCGUAAAGAGCUCGUAGGUGGUUUGUCGCGUUGUUCGUGAAAUCUCACGGCUUAACUGUGAGCGUGCGGGCGAUACGGGCAGACUUGAGUACUGCAGGGGAGACUGGAAUUCCUGGUGUAGCGGUGGAAUGCGCAGAUAUUAGGAGGAACACCGGUGGCGAAGGCGGUCUCUGGCGAGUAACUGACGCUGAGGAGCGAAAGCGUGGGGAGCGAACAGG
rnacentral:rRNA from 1 species